ensembl:lncRNA
UUCGAAGUUUAAACAAAAAUGCUUUAUUAAAUAAACCUUCAAACAAAAAUGAUUCGUCUUCGUUAUUGUUAUUGUUUCCAUUGCAUUAUUGCCAUAUUUCCAUUAUGGCUCCAACAUACCAGCCCCUAAUUGUUGACGCGGUAGCAAGACAAUUAAUCAAUUAAAUAAGUAGCCAAAGCAAACAAUCUCAUGAAUUGACAAACACAUCCUUUUGGAAAAAGUAAUCCUUGGAAAUCCAUGCAUGUAUUUAUGGGCAAAGGGGUUCAAAAAUCACUGAAAUGUGUGCGUGCAAGUAUGGGAAUGAGAAACUCAAGGUUCAGGGGGAAUGUGUGCAGGUGUGUGUUUCUGUUAACAAUCACAACUCCAUCACACUCAAUCACCUGCUUCCAGGAGCAGGAGCAUCCAGAGCUUAUCUAUAGGUUGUUGCAGGAUGCUACUCUUGGUUUUCACCAAGACACUCCGAACGGGACCUCCUGGCCCAGGCAGUGCCUUCACCACACAACCCUUGAGCCAAGAGCUCCUUGGUGCUGUGUCGUCGACUAUGAUGACCAGAUCAUCAGGGUGAAGGUUCCGCUUAGGAUUGUGCCAUUUUCUUCGCUGCUGCAUGAUAGGGAGAUUCUCUCUUACCCAUCUCUUCCAGAAGACGUCAGCAUGGUACUGUGCCUGUUUCCAUCUCCGCCGAGAAUCCAUAUCUUCCUUUUUAGAUAGUCCCGGUGGCAUAACGGGUUUGGUCUUUAGUUGAACGAGGUGGUUUGGGGUUAGGGGUUACCAAUCAUUGAAUCCUUUUUGAAUCCUGUGGUGAUCCAUUUCCUUAAGAGACAUCUGCAGCUCUUUCUGCGCUCCAACAAAACUGGUCCCAUUGUCUGUGCGUAUGCUGGUGCCUGAUCCUCUGCAGCAUAUGAACCUGCGCAACGCAUUGAUGCCCAAGUCUGUAUCCAAGUAGCCUGCAACUUCCAAAUGCACAGCCCGGCUUACCAGGCAAGUGAAGAUCACUCCCCAGCGUUUCACAUGUGCCCAGCCCCGCUUUACAUUUAUGGGUCCAAAUUAGUCAAUCCCAACAUGUGUAAAGGGUGGGAGAUCCGGCGAUACACAAUCUUCUGGAAGGUCGGCCAUUUUCUGCUCUCCAGCAGCUCUUGAUGAUCUUUCUGGCGGAGGAGUUGGCAGUAGG